CUGGCUAUAUAGACUAAUGUAAGUUGUUUAUUGAAACAGAAAAAAGGGAUUAGGCAAUGCGGUUUGUGCAAGCAAUAUGGUCACUAUAGAACAAGUUGUAAGAACAUCCCAAAGGAAACCCCAAUUGCAACUUCACUUCCUGGAAUUGUGAUAAGGGAACCCAUUAUUUCUACUACUGUUAAUGUCCCUCGGAAUACUGGAAAACGGGUAUAGCUUUACCCUCACAACCAUUAAAUCAUUUACUUUCAGGAUCUAAAUUAAAUCAAGUUUGUCUUACAAAUUUUGCAGAAAGAAAAGGUACCUGAAAUUCCCAGAUUUGUAGAUGAUACAACCAUCAAGAGGAAGUAUAUAGCUGCACUCAUUGAUGACAAUGGAGGAGCGACCACUUCAUGUUCUGUUGUUGAGAAUCCUCAAGCUGGCAGCUCAGAUCCAGAUCUAGUUAUUGUAGCAGAUGGAGGGAAUGACAUGGAGAUAAGGGAAGAGCAAGGUACACAAGUUGGAGAUAAUUUACCAACACAAUUCAGUGUUGUGCUUGACAACACCCUUGGAGGUUCAAGCUGAUUAUGCAUUGGAUGAAGGGAUGGCUUUAAUGGAGUGAGAAUCUUUUAUUCAAAAGCA
rnacentral:lncRNA from 1 species